rnacentral:rRNA from 1 species
GAUGAACGCUGGCGGCGUGCCUAAUACAUGCAAGUCGAGCGGACGGACGCGACGCUUGCUUCUCUGAUGUUAGCGGAGGACGGGUGAGUCACACGUGGAUAAUCUACUUAUAAGACUGGGAUAACUACGGGACACCGGAGAUAAUACCGGAUAAUCUUCUGAACCGCAGGGUUGAAAAGUGAAAGACGGUCUUGCUGUCAGUACUCGCUGGAUCCGCGCUGGAUUAGCUAGUUGGUAAGGUCACGGCUUUCGAAGGCAAGGAGGCCUAGACGAACUGAGAGGGUGAUCGGCCACACUGGAGCUUAAGCACGGUCCAGGGUCCUACAGGACGCAGCAGUAGCGAAUCGUCCGCAAUGGGCGGAAGCCUGACGCAGCAACGCCGAGUGAGUUAUGGAGGUCUUCGGAUCGUAAUACUCGGUUAUGAGUGAAGAACAGAUUUGUAAGGAACUGUGCACUGCGUGACGGUACCGAAUCAAAAAGCCACGGCUAACUACGUG